AUUGAACGCUGGCGGCAUGCCUUACACAUGCAAGUCGAACGGCAGCACGGGUGCUUGCACCUGGUGGCGAGUGGCGAACGGGUGAGUAAUACAUCGGAACGUACCUUAUCGUGGGGGAUAACGCAGCGAAAGCUGUGCUAAUACCGCAUACGCCCUGAGGGGGAAAGCGGGGGAUCGAAAGACCUCGCGCGAUUAGAGCGGCCGAUGCCUGAUUAGCUUGUUGGUGGGGUAAAAGCCCACCAAGGCGACGAUCAGUAGCUGGUCGGAGAGGACGAUCAGCCACACUGGGACUGAGACACGGCCCAGACUCCUACGGGAGACAGCAGUGGGGAAUUUUGGACAAUGGGGGCAACCCUGAUCCAGCAAUGCCGCGUGAGUGAAGAAGGCCUUCGGGUUGUAAAGCUCUUUUGUCAGGGAAGAAACACCGGCUCUAACACAGUCCGGGAAUGACGGUACCUGAAGAAUAAGCACCGGCUAACUACGUGCCAGCAGCCGCAGUAA
rnacentral:rRNA from 1 species